GGCCCCUUGGCCUAAUGGUAAGGCGUUGCUUUCCGGUUCUUGAACACAGCUGGCAAAGAUUCUGGGUUCGAGUCCCAGGGGGGUCG
rfam:Grosmannia clavigera kw1407 unplaced genomic scaffold GCSC_140, whole genome shotgun sequence.